AUUGAACGCUGGCGGAAUGCUUUACACAUGCAAGUCGAACGGCAGCAUAGGUGCUUGCACCUGAUGGCGAGUGGCAAACGGGUGAGUAAUACAUCGGAACGUGCCCAGUCGUGGGGGAUAACGUAGCGAAAGUUACGCUAAUACCGCAUACGAUCUAAGGAUGAAAGCGGGGGACCGUAAGGCCUCGCGCGAUUGGAGCGGCCGAUGUCGGAUUAGGUAGUUGGUGAGGUAAAGGCUCACCAAGCCGACGAUCUGUGGCUGGUCUGAGAGGACGACCAGCCACACUGGGACGGAGACACGGCCCAGACUCCUACGGGAGGCAGCAGUGGGGAAUUUUGGACAAUGGACGCAAGUCUGAUCCAGCCAUUCCGCGUGCAGGACGAAGGCCUUCGGGUUGUAAACUGCUUUUGUACGGAACGAAAAAGCUCUUACUAAUACUAGGAGUCCAUGACGGUACCGUAAGAAUAAGCACCGGCUAACUACGUGCCAGCCGCCGCAGUAA
rnacentral:rRNA from 1 species